UACGGAGGAUGCAAGCGCUAUCCGGAAUCACUGGGCGUAAAGGGUUCGCAGGCGGUCUACCAAGUCUGAUGUGAAAGGCAUGGGCUUAACCCAUGUAAGCAUUGGAAACUGAUAGACUUGAGUUAAGGAGAGGUAAGUGGAAUUCCUAGUGUAGCGGUGAAAUGCGUAGAUAUUAGGAAGAAUACCGGUGGCGAAGGCGACUUACUGGACUUAAACUGACGCUGAGGAACGAAAGCGUGGGGAGCAAACAGG
rnacentral:rRNA from 1 species